UUUGUGAUUCGAAACUACACUGGCCCAAGCCUAGUGGCCGCCAUUAAGGAAAUAGAAUAGAAUUUGUGAUUUUUGGUAUCACAAAGUAGAAGUCAUAUUUUUACAAAACUACCGCAUAUAGUCAUUUUUACUUGACAUUGGUGAAGUCAUCGUUUAGCAUAUCUUUACCAUAGCUUUUAAAAGAAGAAGAAGAAGAAGAAGAAGAAGUGAACCAUCUUUCUAAUUUGUGUUGUGAACAGAACGAUGGAGACCAUCUACGUCUACCAUCUACGUCUGUGGUGUAUCCACUAAUUUUCACCGAAAAGUAUUUCACAGUUUCUGGUAGCAGUACCGGUAACGCUAAUAAUAACGACGAUCAAGACAACGUCCAAGCGACAUGUAUACAAUGUAAAACUAUCAUCAAAGGUAGUUUGAAAGCAACAAGCAAUUUUAGAUUGCAUUUAAAGCGAAAGCACCCUGAUAUUCUUAGCAAAUAUGAGGAAGAUAAAGUAAAGCAAGGUAUAACUGGUAAAAGACAGAAAUUGUUAAAAAUUGAAGAAACAAAUUCAAAAUUGAAACAAAAACAACUUGAUUUUAAAUCACAGUCACAGAAGACUACUCAGAAAAAGCUAGAUGACAACAUCAUUAAUUACAUUAUACAGAGUAUGAAACCACUUAGCACAGUGGAUGACCCCAAUUUUGUGAAAAUGUUUUCUGACCUUUCAGAAAAUUUACAUGUAAUGUCUAGACGAACACUAGGAUGAAAAAUUGAAAUGUCCCAAAAAGAACUAACAGAAAAACUAAUAAACAUUUUGAGUAAUUUGGACUAUGUAUCAACUACUGCAGACAUAUGGUCAACAAAAACUAGAAGCUUCCUUGGUGUAACUGCACACUGGAUUGAUAAAAAUACACUUGAAAGCAUGAGUUGUGUAUUAUCUUUUGAUCGCUUCAAAGGGUCACAUACGUAUGAUAAAAUUGCUGAGAUGCUAUUUGAAAUACAGUCUUUGUUUAAAUUAAAACUUGAACAAGUGGUGUCAACAACUACUGACAAUGGGUCAAAUUUUGUGAAGGCUUUUAGAGAAUUUGGCGUUACUAACUAUAUACCUGAUUUUUCUGAUGGUGAUGCUGACCUUGCAGAUACUGCGGAAGUUGUUAGAACUUCUUCGAGUAUAGCCUCUGACAUUCUAAAUGAUGAGGUUCUGUUACCUCACAACUCAAUUGAGGAAAUAACAACGAGGGAAUUAUAUUUACCCAGGGAAUUAUAUGUGCUAGCCACACAUUAAGUCUUUUGGCCACUACAGACAUGAAUAAUUACAUAAAAGAAUCUCCCAUUAGCAGGGUUCAUUACUCAGCAAUAGCAAAAUGUACUUUGCUCUGGAAUAUGUCCAGAAGGCCCAAGUCUGCAGAAAUAAUACAAGAAUGUCUUGGGAAUCAAUUGAUAUAUCCUUGUCCUACAAGGUGGAAUUCGCUGUAUGAUUCAAUUGUCCAACUUAUGAAAACAAAAUCAAAAUUAAAUGAUUUAUUUGAUAAGUUGGGGAAGACCAACGCUUUCUCGGCUAUAGAACUGGAAUACCUUGAAGAAUUUAUAGAGGUACUUAAACCGAUUGCAACAGCUUUAGAUUACAUUCAGGGCAAUAAUUGUUAUUAUGGUAAACUUCUGCCUAGCUUAAUGUCUGUAAGAACUAGAUUAGAAAGGUUACAGGGCAACAAUUUAAGACAUUUUUCUGGAGUUGUAUCUAAAUUGAAAGACAGCUUAGAAAAGAGGUUUGAUUUGAUAACUUUUUAAACUAUUUCCCGAAGUUAAUGAAGCCAUAUUGGCAUCCUGCUAUUACCCUGCCUAUAAUGCGUUGGCUGCCAGAAUCUACCACGUCCGAAGAAAAGCAAAGGAUACAAAAUCUUGCCAUUUACUCUUUAGAGGCUAAUUUUAAAAAGCAUGAAGAGGGAAGUAGAAGAAGCAGAAAUACAAGUAAAGGAGAUGAUGAUUUUAUUAUUUUUAUAAAUAGUGACAGUGAUCGGCCACAAACAUCAAAAAUGGAAUUAGAGCUAGUGAGCUUUCUAAAUGAAAAAAGUAAAGAGCUAACUAUUCUUGAACAUUACCCAAACAUAAAACAAGUUUUCAUAAAAUUUAAUACAAGUCUGUGUUCUUCCGGACCAGUAGAGAGAUUAUUCUCUUUAGCAGGGUUUAUACAUUCUCCGACGAGAGGAUAUUUAUCUGAUAGCACUUUCAAAAGACUAGUUUUCUUGAAAGGGAAUUCUUUUUUUUUUAAUUAAAAACUACCUUUUUGAUACAGUUGCUCAAAACGUGGUAUUGGUCGUACUACAAAUCGUGCCGAAAGCUGGAUUUGUCGCACUAGUACCUUUUACUUUUAUUUUUUUUUUAAUUUGCUGUUGUUUCAAGUCUUAAACAUAGGACUAAUGAGGUUGUAUAUUUAUUAAUAUUUAUGUGCUUUGUGACGUAAAUCAUUCGUCAUUAAAAC